GGGGUCUUAGCUCAGCUGGGAGAGCAUCUGCCUUACAAGCAGAGGGUCAUAGGUUCGAGCCCUAUAGGCACCA
rnacentral:tRNA from 1 species